rnacentral:rRNA from 1 species
UACGGAGGGGGCUAGCGUUGUCCGAAGUUACUGGGCGUAAAGCGCGCGUAGGCGGGUUGGUAAGUCCGCUGUGAAAGCCCGGAGCUCAACUCCGGAGGGUCGGUGGAUACUGCCAGUCUUGAAGGUGCUAGGGGGAGAUGGAAUUACCGGUGUAGCGGUGAAAUGCGCAGAUAUCGGUAGGAACACCAGUGGCGAAGGCGGUCUCCUGGGGCAUUCUUGACGCUGAGGCGCGAAAGCUGGGGGAGCAAACGGG